rnacentral:lncRNA from 1 species
CAGAUAUCGGGGGAGGGGUGGAGGCUGCAGUGAGCGGAGAUCGCGCCACUGUACUCCAGCCUGUGUGACAGAACAAGACCCUGAGUUAAAAAAAAAAGAAAGAAUAUUAUGUAUUCUUGAAAUUAUAUAGAUUUUAUAGUAUGGAUAUACUAUGGUUUCUAUACCUUUCACCUGUUGGAGAGCAUCAGAGUUGUUUCCCCUUUUUGACUAUUACAGAUGAUUAUUAUGAAGGUUUGUGUCCAGGUUUCGUGUGAAUAUGUCUUCAUUUCUCUGGGAUGAAUGCCUAAGAGUGUGAUUGCUGGGUUGUAUGAUGAGUGUAUUGUUUAGUUUUAUAACAAAUUAUAAGACUGUUUUCCAGAAUGGCUGUGUCCUUUUGCAUUCCCACCAGCUUUGCACAAGUGAUCCACUUUCUCCACAUUCUUGCCAGCAUUUGGUGUUGUCACUAUUUUUUAUUUUAGCCGCUGUGGUAGGUAUGUAGUGUUACAUCAUUGUGGUUUUAAUUUGCAUUUCACUGAUGGCCAAUUAUGUGGAACAUCUUUUAAUGUGCUUAUUUGCCUUUUGUAUAUUUUAUUUGGUGAAAUAUCUGUUCAUGUUUUUUUGCCCAUAUUCUGAUUGAGAUUUUGUUCUUUUUACUGCUGAGUUUUGAGAAUUCUUUAUACAUACUACAUAUAGGUUCUUUGUUGGAUGUGUGGUUUGCAACUAUUUUAGCUCAACCUGUACUUUAAUUUUUCAUCUUUUUCACAGGUUCUUUUAUAAAACAAACUUUUAAAUUUUGAUGAGGUCCAGUUUAUCAAUUUUUUUCAUUUGUGGAGUCUGCUUUUGAUCUGAAGUCUAAAAAUCCCUUUGCCUAGUCCUUGAUCUUAGAGAUUUUCUCCUAUGUUUUUUCCUAAAAAUUGCAACAUUUUGUUUUACAUUUAGGUCUGUGAUCCAUUUUGAGUUAAUUUUUAUAUAAGAUGUGAGAUAGGAAUCAAAGAUUUAAAAAAAAAAAUUGCCUAUGUGCAGCUUAAUUUUUUUUUUUUUACCAGUUUCUUUUUUUUU